rnacentral:ncRNA from 2 species
CUCUUAUAUAGAGCGGUGGAGGGAAGUGCCCUAUGAAGCCCGGCAACCGUCACAUUUGUGAAAUGGUGCCAAUUCACUCAGAGCAAGUCGCUUUGACAGAUGAGAG